AGUCAAGAAUACGAGAGCCCUCAAAUCUGCAGCAUUCAAAGAUGAGCAGCCGCGGUUGGUGUCGGGGUGGCUGGCUGCGACCCAGCGCAAGUACGGCCUGUUCUUGGCCGUGGUCGGCGUCACGUCUCUGGCCGCGGCUACGCUUUUCGCCUUCGCCGGCAUGGCACAGCAGCACGUCAGGGACGGGAACAUUUUCGACGAGGAAGCCAUGAACGACCAAGGCAAGUCGGAAGAA